CUAAACUGAACUUUUUCCUUUUAGUCAGCAUUAGGGUUUUAAACCCUAAACUGAAUUUUCCUUUUAGUCAGCAUUAGGGUUUUAAAACCCUAAACUGAACUUUUUCCUUUCAGCCAGCAUUAGGGUUUUAAACCCUAAACUGAGUUUUUCCAUGCAAUCAGCAUUAGGGUUUUAAACCCUAAACUGAAUUUUCCUUUUAAUCAGCAUUAGGGUUUUAACCCUAAACUGAAUUUUCCUUCAGCCAUCAUUAGGGUUUUAAACCCUAAACUGAGCUUUUCCAUGCAAUCAGCAUUAGGGUUUUAAAACCCUAAACUGAAUUUUUCCUUUGUUCGGCGUUAGGGUUUUAAACCCUAAACUGAACCUUUCCCCAGCUAGUCGGUAUUAGGGCUCCAACCCUGAACUGAGCAUGCAUAUCCUCUUUCAUCAAUUUUAUGAACUUCCUGGCGAAUAAUUAAUGAAAUUUUCCUAGUG
rnacentral:lncRNA from 1 species